CUUGCUCCACCGGAAAAAGAAGAGUGGCGAACGGGUGAGUAACACGUGGGUAACCUGCCCAUCAGAAGGGGAUAACACUUGGAAACAGGUGCUAAUACCGUAUAACAAUCGAAACCGCAUGGUUUUGAUUUGAAAGGCGCUUUCGGGUGUCGCUGAUGGAUGGACCCGCGGUGCAUUAGCUAGUUGGUGAGGUAACGGCUCACCAAGGCCACGAUGCAUAGCCGACCUGAGAGGGUGAUCGGCCACAUUGGGACUGAGACACGGCCCAAACUCCUACGGGAGGCAGCAGUAGGGAAUCUUCGGCAAUGGACGAAAGUCUGACCGAGCAACGCCGCGUGAGUGAAGAAGGUUUUCGGAUCGUAAAACUCUGUUGUUAGAGAAGAACAAGGAUGAGAGUAACUGUUCAUCCCUUGACGGUAUCUAACCAGAAAGCCACGGCUAACUAC
rnacentral:rRNA from 1 species